ACUGCCUCUAGGGGCACUGCAGGUGUGGCUAUUGUGUCACAUGUGCACUACUAGGUGGAGAUAGAGGCUAUGCCUACAUUCACUGUUCUGACCUGUGAACAUCUGAAUGACUAAUAGCCUAACAUU
ensembl:snoRNA Gm24337 predicted gene, 24337